UAAUUGAAUAGCCAUUGAAAACGUGCGACAACAUCCGAGGUCUCUUGGACUCGUAUUUUUGCGUGCUCGGAACCGUCAUUGAAGUCAUCACACCGGCUGAAAUAUUUUGGUAUUGUCUUCGUUGUUGAAGAACAUUUGGCAUGUAUAAGCUAUUAUAUUUUGUCGAAUUGUGGGUUGUAAACUUUAAGCCAUGUGAAAAUGGCCUAUGUGGUCGUCGAGUGGGAUGCUAGAACCUAUAGCCACGAGUCUUAGAAACUUUAAUUUUGAUAAGGUGGCCAUAAUUUGUGUCAUGUUUGAUGGAUGAUUAAGGCCAAGGAAAGAUUCAUGAAA